UGGAUGUUUGUCUGAGUGUUUCUGUGUGAGCGGCGCCGCAUUUGUCAGUCUGUGUCUGUCUCUGUUUUGGUUCCGCCGUGUGUGUAUAUAUGUGUGUCUUAGUACUGGUCUGUGGUAAGAGGGCAGAUGGGUAUUCCUGCCCUGUGGUAAGAGGGCAGAUGGGUAUUCCUGCCCUGUGGUAAGAGGGUGGAUGUGUAUUCCUGCCCUGUAGGAGAGUGGAUGUGUAUCCCCACUCAGUGCAGCUGCCUUUGUGGUCCGUGAGGACCCCCUGGCUGCGGAAGGGGGGACGCCCCGGGCCCGCAAGGCUGCAGCCCCUGGAAGACGUUCCACGGGCGGAGAACAGUCGGGAGAGCCCGGCUAUGGACAGUCAGGAGGACCUGACUCUGGUUUUCUGGAACAAAGGAGAUGGAAUGCUCCUUUUACCUAGGCGGAAGUGGACGAAGAAUCCCACUCCGUCAGAGGUCGAGUUCGGCUGCCUAUUUAAAUAUAGGCACGGACAAGUGUGCUUAGUCGUUAGGACAAGAGGACACUCUGGAAUCCUGUUGGGAGGUGGAAUCAGAUGGUCCAUCUCAUCCCAAAAGCAGCUAAGGUUAAGCUGCAGUUUGGGCCACGUACUGAAGGUACCAGGCAUCUGUGAAAGUUGGUUAUAAGAUGCUUUGUCUUGAUAUUGUUUGUCUGGCUUGUUUUCUGUGGUAUUGUCGAGUGUCUUUUUGGCUUUUGUUUCGUUUUUGAAUUUUGGACUGACGACUGUGUUCGAAUUUGGACUGACGACUGUGUUUAAAAUCUUGGACUGAUGACUGUGUUUGAAAUCAUGAAACUGUUUGCUUUGUUCGUCAAAGAGUUUUACUUGGUCCUCUUGGUGCUUAAGUUAAGAGUUAAAAAUAAUUUGUUUGAGAAAAAUUGUUUUCUGCCAGGGAGUUUUGUCUUUCUCUCUUGAGCCUCCUCUCCAAGGAGAGAGGCGCCACCCUUUACUCCCCUUGAUCAGCCUAGCUGCUGUUAACAGUUGUGUAAACAGACAUUAACAAAAACCUUGAGGACAAAACUGCUCGUAAAUAAAAAAGUUCCCCAGAUUAGGCCUCCGGUAUAAAACAAGUGUAGUGAGUAAGAAACUUAAUUUUAUGGACCCCGCUCUAGUGGCGGUGUGUUGGUUGAUAGCCAAUGUUAAGUUUUUAAAACAUAGUGUUUUAUCUGUGCUUGUGCUUGAAACACACAGUAGGGGGGAGCGAAAUUAGCUGCGGAGCUGCUGCAGCGAGCAUGGGGACUUCUCAAGUCUCUCCCAAUUUUUCUGGCUCUUCAGGAGCUGUUUAAAAGAAAAAGGCUUAAGGUAAAAAGAAACACUAUAAAAAGAUUUCUUAGUGAAUUACUACACCUUGGUUUGCGAUCUCUGGGAAUCUCAUGGUGGACAGCUGAGAUAAGCUAGAAAAGGAUUUAAAUUUUGCUUAGAAACAAAGAAUCUUAAAGGUAGAGUUUCAGCCGGUAUGACACUUAGUACAUAGCUGCCUAAAAGAUCAGAAAUGCUGUCAACAGGCUAUAAAAAAGGGACAGGCUGUGUUAAAAAUGCUACAUAAAGAAUAAUCUAAAAAGGCUGAGAGUGAGGUGGGAGAGGACUCUAAAGAAAACAAGAACAAGAAAAGAAUUUCUGCUUUUAGUGGCCAGACCUUCAACUCUUGCUCACAGAAAGAGAGUGCUCAUUAAGAAAAGUUCUUUAGGGAGCCUGCCUUAUCUGCUGGCCCUAUUCCAAGAGAGGAGUCAGUCUCCAACAUUAAAUUACUUUUCUCACUGGUCAUCAUUAGCAUGGAGAAUGCCUUUGAUCCUAUCCCCACAGCAGCCAGUUCCUGCCCCUGUGGUAGAAAUGUCCCAGGUUGGGGGGCAGAGAAGCCCCUAAAAUAGUUUCAAAGAAUCUACAACAAACUGUAAAGAACUUUGUUUUGUUUUGCCAGUUUGAAUUUAGAAUUCAGGCUUUGGCUGUGGCCGAGGUCAGGAUUAAUGUUUUCGUUUCCAUGGGCCCUUAGCCCACUGAGACAGUUUGGUAAAGGACUACUACUACAGUCCUGAUAUUCAGAGACAUGGAGAGAGCUAUAGUUUUUUUAUUAAAGGCUAAAAGACCUACAGGUGAUACAGAAAGAAAUCUGCUCACAGCUGACAGCAGCCUAUGCCCCGGAGACCCCUGAGACAUCCCAUCAGUUCCAGGUCGGAAGCAGCUACACUGAGCCCAGACACUCGAUCCUCGCUGGAAAGGACCAUACCUGGUGCUGCUGACCACCCUGACAGCCGUCAAUUCUCAGCCCUCACCAGCCGUGUACUAGCUGUUAGGGCUGAGAGCUGGGACCUAGAGAGAAAUUCAGUCAUGUUUGUCCUGGGUUCCAUCGAGAUAGGUGUGGGGAUAGGCUUGAUUUCUAUUACAAAUGAUGUAACAUUACAUAUGUUAGUACUCCUAACACUUCUUGGGACUGUGCCUCAGGGAUCACAACCUAUAUAAGUUUAGAAGUUCUGAAAGACAGUCAUGACCUUGGUGUAUAGGUUCAGAUAGUGUCCAGAUUGAAAUCCUGAUGCUAAAGACUUAGUAAGAGACAAAAAAAAAAGAGUUGAGAAUUACUUAGGGCUAGGGCUAUCUAGGUGCUACAAGGGCAGCACAAGGACAUCUGCUGUUGCCCUACAAUACAAGGCUUAUAGAGAAUUCAGAACUGCCAUUGACUCAGAUAUAAAAAGAGUAAAAGACUUUUUAGCUGACCUCCAAGAAUACCUAACCUCCCUCUCAGAGGUAGUCCUUCAAAAUAAAAAAAGAUUAGACCUGAUAUUCCUUAAAGAAAGAGUCUGUGUGCUAUACUAAAAGAAAAAUGUUGCUUCUAUACAGACCAUUCAGGAGUAAUUAAAGACUCCAUAAAUAAACUUAGAAAAAGGUUAGACAAAAGACAGACAGAAAAACACAUCAGAGAUAGUUCGAGAGCUAGUUUAGUAGAUCUCCCUGGAUGACUACCCUACUCUCUGCUACAGGUGGGCCAUUAUUAAUAAUUUUCUUGGUUUUAGUUUUUGGCUCCUGCGUGACAAACAGGUUAAUUACUUUUGUUAAAAAUCGAGUGGGUGCUGUGCGGUUGAUGUUGUGAGACAACAGUACCAGUCAGUUAGGACAACUGGUGAGACCAAAUACGAGACUUGAUAUCAAAAUUCUAAGAUUAGAAUUAUUUAGUAGGAGAAGACGGGAAUGAAAAGAAAAUUAUACGAAUUCUAGGUUUAAAAAUAUAAAAUUAAAAGAGUUAGCCCCAAAAGCCACAAACUCAGGGCUAAGCCCUGCCGCCAGGAAUAGCAGGCCAUAAAGAUAAAGAAAAGGAAUACAAGAACCAGCUCAGGCUAUCGAGGACUGAGCCAUAAACCAUCCAAAGACAUCCCCCCAGCUUACUCAGAGUCAUACUUUAACCAGAUGUCCUCCAGACCCUGAUAAGCCCCUACUUGUGCUUUUCAGCCAUUGUGUCCUACAGAGAGCAUUCCAGGAAACCGGACAGCCCAAGCCUAACCAGAGGUGUUUCAAAUACAAAUGCUCCAUCAGUUUUGACAAACGUUUAAAAAUAAUGAGGACCUGAAGACCCUACCCUUCUCCUGAUUUAGUAGCUCUGUUCCAGGAACCAGGGGGCCAUAAAACCUUCUGGCGUCCCCUUAUCUCCUGGAGCCAUAAAACAAUCCUGUAACUUGUGGUGCAUUCCCCUUUGACAUCCCCCAUCCCCUGGUGCUCACAGCCUCUGCCUUUAAAUACUCUUUUUCCCAGCCUCUCGGGGCCGACACCUCUGUCUCCUGCGCGGGAUAUGUGUCGGCCCGGAGAUCUCUGUAAUAGGUCUCCGUAAUAAACCUCGCCUUUGCUUAUUACAUCCAAAA